GAUGAACGCUGGCGGCGUGCCUAAUACAUGCAAGUCGAGCGAACAGAUGAGGAGCUUGCUCCUCUGACGUUAGCGGCGGACGGGUGAGUAACACGUGGAUAACCUACCUAUAAGACUGGGAUAACUUCGGGAAACCGGAGCUAAUACCGGAUAAUAUAUUGAACCGCAUGGUUCAAUAGUGAAAGACGGUUUUGCUGUCACUUAUAGAUGGAUCCGCGCCGCAUUAGCUAGUUGGUAAGGUAACGGCUUACCAAGGCAACGAUGCGUAGCUGACCUGAGAGGGUGAUCGGCCACACUGGAUCUGAGACACGGUCCAGACUCCUACGGGAGGCAGCAGUAGGGAAUCUUCCGCAAUGGGCGAAAGCCUGACGGAGCAACGCCGCGUGAGUGAUGAAGGUCUUCGGAUCGUAAAACUCUGUUAUUAGGGAAGAACAAAUGUGUAAGUAACUAUGCACGUCUUGACGGUACCUAAUCAGAAAGCCACGGCUAACUACGUG
rnacentral:rRNA from 1 species